rnacentral:rRNA from 1 species
GCUCAGGACGAACGCUGGCGGCGUGCGUAACACAUGCAAGUCGAACGAGAGAGUGAGAGAAGCUUGCUUUUCUUAUGAUCGAGUGGCAAACGGGUGAGUAACGCGUAAACAACCUGCCCCGCAGAUGGGGACAACAGCUGGAAACGGCUGCUAAUACCGAAUACGGUCCUCUUAGCGCACGGUAAGAGGAAGAAAGGGUGGCCUCUGGAACAAGCUACCGCUGUGGGAGGGGUUUGCGUCUGAUUAGCUGGUUGGAGGGGUAACGGCCCACCAAGGCGACGAUCAGUAGCCGGUCUGAGAGGAUGAACGGCCACAUUGGAACUGAGACACGGUCCAGACUCCUACGGGAGGCAGCAGUA